rnacentral:rRNA from 1 species
GAAUAUUGCACAAUGGGCGCAAGCCUGAUGCAGCCAUGCCGCGUGUAUGAAGAAGGCCUUCGGGUUGUAAAGUACUUUCAGCGGGGAGGAAGGCGAUGUGGUUAAUAACCGCGUCGAUUGACGUUACCCGCAGAAGAAGCACCGGCUAACUCCGUGCCAGCAGCCGCGGUAAUACGGAGGGUGCAAGCGUUAAUCGGAAUUACUGGGCGUAAAGCGCACGCAGGCGGUCUGUUAAGUCAGAUGUGAAAUCCCCGGGCUUAACCUGGGAACUGCAUUUGAAACUGGCAGGCUUGAGUCUUGUAGAGGGGGGUAGAAUUCCAGGUGUAGCGGUGAAAUGCGUAGAGAUCUGGAGGAAUACCGGUGGCGAAGGCGGCCCCCUGGACAAAGACUGACGCUCAGGUGCGAAAGCGUGGGGAGCAAACAGG